GGGCCCUGAGAGGGGGAGCCCGGAGAUGGACUCUGAGACACGAGUCCAGGCCCUACGGGGCGCAGCAGGCGCGAAACCUUCGCAAUGCGCGAAAGCGCGACGAGGGGAGCCCGAGUGCCCUUCCUUUUGGGAGGGCUUUUCCGGAGUCUAAAAAGCUCCGGGAAUAAGGGCUGGGCAAGGCCGGUGGCAGCCGCCGCGGUAAUACCGGCGGCCCGAGUGGUGGCCGCUAUUAUUGGGCCUAAAGCGUCCGUAGCCGGGCCCGUAAGUCCCUGGCGAAAUCCCACGGCUCAACCGUGGGGCUUGCUGGGGAUACUGCGGGCCUUGGGACCGGGAGAGGCCGGGGGUACCCCUGGGGUAGGGGUGAAAUCCUAUAAUCCCAGGGGGACCGCCAGUGGCGAAGGCGCCCGGCUGGAACGGGUCCGACGGUGAGGGACGAAGGCCAGGGGAGCGAACCGGAUUAGAUACCCGGGUAGUCCUGGCUGUAAAGGAUGCGGGCUAGGUGUCGGGCGAGCUUCGAGCUCGCCCGGUGCCGAAGGGAAGCCGUUAAGCCCGCCGCCUGGGGAGUACGGCCGCAAGGCUGAAACUUAAAGGAAUUGGCGGGGGAGCACUACAAGGGGUGGAGCGUGCGGUUUAAUUGGAUUCAACGCCGGG
rnacentral:rRNA from 1 species